GAUGAACGCUAGCGGCAGGCCUAAUACAUGCAAGUCGAACGGUAUCCCCCUUUCGGGGGGGAGAGAGUGGCGGAUGGGUGCGUAACGCGUAUGCAACCUGCCCCCUUCAGGGGAAUAGCU
rnacentral:rRNA from 1 species